GUAAAUACAGGACAGUGGAAAUACCAUGAGCAGGCAGGUGGUAUUGAGGCUUAGCCAUUGCACUCUGUAGUGCUGACCUGAUUUCCACAAUGUGGGAAACAUGACUGCAUAAUUUGUGGUAGUAGGGAACUGCAUUCUCACUCUCCCCUG
ensembl:snRNA U1 U1 spliceosomal RNA